ACGCAGCUCUGGAGAGUGUUCCACGAUGUGGAGCCACCAAAGGGGAAAGCCGGAUUUACCCGGUCAAACUUUCAGGUACCAAGACAGAGAG
rnacentral:ncRNA from 1 species